CUUUACUGUAGCCUGGAAUUGGGUUCGGGCUUUGCUUGCGCAGGAUAGGUGGGAGGCGUUGAGACUACCCUUGUGGGGGUAGUGGAGCCAACGGUGAGAUACCACUCUGGCGAAGCUAGAAUUCUAACCAUCAGCCGUCAGCCGGCGAUGGAACAGUUUCAGGUGGGCAGUUUGACUGGGGCGGUCGCCUCCUAAAAUGUAACGGAGGCGCGCAAAGGUUCCCUCAGGCUGGUUGGAAAUCAGCCGUAGAGUGUAAAAGCACAAGGGAGCUUGACUGCAAGAGACACAGCUCGCGCAGGUAGGAAACUAGGCUUUAGUGAUCCGACGGUUCCGAGUGGAAGGGCCGUCGCUCAACGGAUAAAAGUUA
rnacentral:rRNA from 1 species